rnacentral:rRNA from 1 species
UGGGCCCUACGGGGCGCAGCAGUAGGGAAUUUUCGUCAAUGGGCGCAAGCCUGAACGAGCAAUGCCGCGUGAACGAGGAAGGUCUUCGGAUCGUAAAGUUCUGUUGAAGGGGAAAAAGAGCGGAGAGAGGAAAUGAACUCCGAUUGAUAUUACCCUUCGAGGAAGUCACGGCUAACUAUGUGCCAGCAGCCGCGGUAAUACAUAGGGAGCAAGCGUUAUCCGGAUUUAUUGGGUGUAAAGGGUGCGUAGACGGGAAAUUAAGUUAGUUGUGAAAUCCCUCGGCUUAACUGAGGAACUGCAACUAA